CAACAGUUUAUUUGACCCUCGCCAUUUUGCGUAUUUUCAAUGGUCUGGCAACAAGUACUCUUUGACAACGAACGUAGGAUGUCAUUGAAUAUCACCGAUGUAAACAAACAGAGAAUAUCUACGAAUAUAUUCAAAUAUAAACGGUUUUAUUACAAUAAUGCCCAAAAUAACUUCCAGAUGCGAAAAUUUUUGUAGCGAAUGCAAUCAAAUACUUACAGCUUAAAAAAGACGAAGGAUUACAUAGCAUUCCAAUAAACAAUGUUUUAAAGUUGGUUGUUGAGAUGACCGGUAUUGACAUUUUAUAGUGCGGUUGUAUCGAACUGGUUUAUGUAGAUCGACGAUAAAAAAUAUUUCUAAAAAUAAUGAGACGGUCUUGACUUUGCCCCCUGUACAAAACAAAACCCCACACAAAAAGAGAAUUCAAAUAGACGACUUCGAUAAACGUGCCAUAAGG